rnacentral:tRNA from 1 species
GGGGUUGUGGCUCAGUGGUAGAGUGCUCACCUAGCACAUGCCAGGCACUGGGUUUGAUCCUCAGCACCACG